UACGUAGGGUGCGAGCGUUGUCCGGAAUUAUUGGGCGUAAAGAGCUCGUAGGCGGUUUGGCAAGUCGGGUGUGAAACCUCCAGGCUCAACCUGGAGUCGCCACCCGAUACUGCUAUGACUUGAGUCUGGUAGGGGAUCACGGAAUUCCUGGUGUAGCGGUGAAAUGCACAGAUAUCAGGAGGAACACCGGUGGCGAAGGCGGUGAUCUGGGCCAGUACUGACGCUCAAGAGCGAAAGCGUGGGUAGCGAACAGG
rnacentral:rRNA from 1 species